CCAGGAGAAGCUCCUUGAGCAACAGCAAGAACCAACUGCCUCGGCUGGUGCCUCCUUCUCUCCCCACCCUCGGGAGCAUGAGACACACACUCAGCAACAGUGUCCAGCGUGCAGCAGUGUGAUGUGCCAGGUGCAGACGGUGCCUGGAGGGCAGCACUGACUGUCUGGCUGCAGCAACAGCAGUGAGAGAAGGUGAACAUGAGUAGCCCCACCACGAAGCCGACCUGCCUGUCACAGCCGAUGGUGAAGAGUGUGCUGGUGUAUCGCAACGGGGACCCGUUCUUCCCGGGGCACCGGGUAGUCAUCCAUGAGAAGAAGGUGUCCAACUUCGAGGUCUUCCUGAAAGAGGUGACAGGUGGGGUGAAGGCGCCUUUUGGGGCUGUGCGUAGCAUCUACACCCCCCAUGGCGGGCAUCGCGUCCGUCAGCUGGAGCAGCUCCAGAGUGGAGAGCACUACGUGGCUGGUGGCAGGGAGGCCUUCAAGAAACUCAACUAUUUGGACAUAGGAGAGGCAAAGAAAAAGCCUGCAGAAGUCAAUAAUGAGUUAACAGUGGAAGAUGUGAAACCAGUUACCCACAGUAGAAUCAAUGUGUCAGCACGGUUUCGAAAACCACUUCAAGAGCCAUGCACUAUUUUUCUGAUUGCUAAUGGAGACCUUAUAAAUCCAGCAGUGCGCCUCUUCAUCCCUAGAAAAACACUAAAUCAAUGGGAUCAUGUUCUUGAAAUGGUAACAGAAAAAGUAACCCUCCGAAGUGGAGCUGUGCACAGGCUUUAUACUUUAGAUGGAAAACUUGUUCAGAGUGGGUCAGAUCUGGAGAAUGGGCAGUUCUAUGUUGCAGUGGGCAGAGACAAGUUUAAGAAGUUGCCUUAUGGUGAUCUACUGUUUAGCAAAUCUACAAUAAGAAGACCUCAGGGUUCCAAAGCCUCUUCACUGCCUCCUGUUGUGGGAUCCCGAAAAUCUAAAGGGAGUGGAAAUGAUCGCCAAUCUAAAUCGACUGUUGGCUCCCAUGACACAGGAGACAUGGUGUCAUCUCCUCAGCCUCCAAAGAGAAAGGAAAAGAGAGAACAGACUCAAGAGAAGAUUAGUUUUUCUAACAAACCCACAAAAGUGAAGCAAAAUAUAAGAGCAACAACUUAUAUCCUUCAAGAUAAUGAUGAAGGUAUUUACAAAGCUGGUGAAAAACGGUCUGAAACGUGGGGGGCAGCGGAAAUCCAGGAAGAUGAAGACACUCAGGUAGAGGUUCCAGUAGAUCAGAGGCCAGCAGAAACAGUAGAUGAGGAAGAAAAUGAAGAAGAGGGAAAUGAUGGAGACAUGAAUGGAGAUCAGGGAGAGGAAAUGGGGGAGGCCGCUAAUGGAAAUGUUCUCCAUAAUGAGAUAGAAGAAAAUGAAGAGAAAAUAAAUGAGAAUUAUGAAGAAGAGCAAGAAGAAGAGAAUCUUGGACAGCUGGAGGAAGAGGGGCCUUUCCGCUUAAAUGGUGAAACUAAUGAAGAAAAUGGUGAGGAAAUGGAGCAGUUUAAUGACCACAAUGAUCUUCAUCCUGAAGAAGAGACAAAAGCACCAGAGGACUUUGACAAUCAAAGCCAGGAGAGGGUCUUCGACAGGAGGAAAUGGAAUCAGAAAUGUCUGUGUCACGUGUGAACUACCCCAAGUGUUCGGUAACCUGAGCAGUGGAUAGAUUUCCUGAGAUUACACGAUUGACUCUCAUCUGGAAAAAGCAUCAAAUCCAAGAGUAACUAUCACCAGCCCACAAGAAAGUGAAAAAAAUGACCAAACCAAUGAGUAUGCUGCUGUAGCAUAGACUUUUUAAAAAGUAGAUUAGCAGAAAAUGAAGGAUUGUAAUAUUUGGCAUUUAAAGCAUGUUGUUAUCUGUGAUUGAUAAUUUAUAAUGUGAAGAUACAGUUGAGUACCACCUAUUGAGUCUUGAAAUGAUAAUGCCGUAUGGAUUGACAGAGAUAAUGAACAUCCUAUUAAAAGGAAGAUUGAAUUAUUUUCACAAUACAUGGCUUACUGAUGAGAUUUUAGGGGGGAAAUGUAAGGGUUUUUGUUUAGAAAUACUAUAAAUAAGUGAGCUAUUCCUUCUUUGGUAUCAGAUGAUAGUUCUAGAAUCAACCCCAUGUGUUAGUCUUCCAAUGUGCUCCAAAAAAGCAUUUGUUAGACAGCAGAGUUUUUUAGCAAUUUUGUUUAGAAAAGAAUAUUUUUGUGACUUCUAAUGGAAAAAUGUAUAAUGUUUUUCUUAGAAUAAUAAACAGCUAGAAAUAUGAGGUAUACUUAAUUUCCAGGCUUUUAAUUUAGAGGUAAUGGGCCAGAUUCUCCUCUUGGUGGAGUUCACCCACAUAAAUCUGGAGUCGAGAAUCUAUUCUGAUUAGAUGUUUAAAACUGAAUAGUGGCUUUCCAGUAAAGCAGCAGCAUUAGUGGUGGUUCUGUUAAUAAAAAGCACAUAUAUAGCACCAUGAAUAGAGUGGGGGAGAUAGUGAGACUUCAGUACUGCAACCUGAUCCAUGUACUCAAAUCCCUGCUGCUGCAGAAAGACCCACUGACUUCAGUAGAACUCUGCACAGAUGUAGGAAGUCUGCAUGCACAUAGAACUGUUUGCAGGAUUUGGGCUAUAGAGUAGAAUUGGGCAACUUUUUUCAGACACAAUUUAUUUGCCAAAAAAUGCAGUUUUGCUUGACCACAAACUAGUCCAGAAUCUGGCAUGAAUUUGCUGAAUAGUUUCAGCCAAAUUUUUUUUUUGGCUGACUGAGGGCCAUUCACAAAAUGGCUGGAGGAGGUGAUGUUGACUAGAGCACUUACCUGUGACGUGGGAGGCCUGUCUUCAAUUCCUGCCUCUGCCUGUUGUGGAGCAGGGAUUUGAAAUUAGUCUCCCACAUCGUAGGAGGAUGCCUGAGCCACUGGGCUGCAGGUUAUAAGAGAACAAACACCACCGCUUCCUCCUCUAGCUCUUCUGUGUACAUAGCCCUUCAUUUCCUUUGUUUCCAAAAGUGACUAGUGGAAACUAGGGCUGUCGAUUAAUCGCAGUUAAUUCACACGAUUAACUCAAAAAACUUAAUCGCAAUUAAUCACAGUUUUAAUCACACUGUUAUACAAUAGAA